UACAGAGGUCUCAACCGUUAUUCGGAUUCAUUGGGCGUAAAGGGUGCGUAGGCGGUCGCGCAAGUCGGAUGUGAAAUCUCAGGGCUCAACCCUGAAACUGCAUUCGAUACUGCGUGGCUAGAGUGCUGGAGAGGAGACUGGAAUUUACGGUGUAGCAGUGAAAUGCGUAGAUAUCGUAAGGAAGACCAGUGGCGAAGGCGAGUCUCUGGACAGCAACUGACGCUGAGGCACGAAGGCCAGGGGAGCAAACGGG
rnacentral:rRNA from 1 species